rnacentral:lncRNA from 1 species
GUCUGGAAAAUUUUUUGACCCCUAAAAUGGUACACUGACCGAAAAUUUUUUGGCGACGGGGGGGAGGGGGGUGGAGUGGUGGGAGUCGCCCAAAAAAUUUCCAUUAAAAAAAUAUUUUCCGGUAGAUUUUGAAGUUUUCCUCUAUAGAGGUGCCCUUGGUGUGCGUCUGCCCCCCUUUGCCUUAUUAUCGUUCCGGCGUCCCUGAUGAUAACUUAAUAAAAUUUAGUCAAACUUGGCAUGUUUACACUGUAAUGGGUGCACCUGCUAGUGAACAGUUCGGAUUAUUUAUGUUUUGCCAUAACAAAUAAUUAGUCCCCACUCUUUACUCGUUUAGCUUCUCUUCUUUUUUACAAAUUCCUCCUGUAGACUUUAGCUUACUCGUUUCAAUGGUUUACACACGGUUGUAAAUACUCGUUACAAUUGUAACGCGUUACUGUGUACUCGUUACAUUUGAAGUAAUUUUAACCUCUAAUUAAUUACGUUUUUAGAAAUGUAACGAAAAACGUAAUUAAUUACAAAAGCAAGGAACGUGUUCCUUUUCCAAGGAGCAAGUGUGGUAGAUUUUCGUUCGAUCCCCACAAUAAGAGCAAAUUACGCGUUAUAUCUUUUGUUUUGUAUUAUAAUCCCUUCCCAAAUCGCUCCCAGUUACAUAUAUUCCCAUGCAAUAACAACAUUAACAGCAUUCCUUUUAUCUCAUGCCUGUCAAUCAAUUCCAUAUAUGGUAAUCACCUCAUCUCUAAAUUUAACUACUAAUUAUUAAUGUCAACCUUUUUCCCGACACACUCCCCCUAUUUAGAACGUAAGUUUUAAAUAUAACUUAUCUGUCUUAUAUAUACACGAACGUCUACACGUAUUCACCGUCUCUACCCAUCACAGUUCUUCCUCUUCCUGAUCAUAAAUUAGUUCAAUGUUCUUCCUUGCAUCGACAGCCGCUCUACGCUUCGGUUUGAACUCCUUUGCAACAGGAUUCAAUGGAACAGUUUCUUGAUUACUUUCUCUAUCACAAUGCAAUUCCAAAGGGUAAAGAAAUUGUAUUGGUCUUUCCAUGAAUGAUUUUCCUGCACGUAGUCUAACUCCACGAACCACUCCGUCUCUUCCGGGUAUAAGUUGUUCAACAAUCCCAAUUUUCCACAGUCUACGAUUCUUUUCAUCACCUUUGAUUAGCAUAACAUCACCCUUUCGUAGCUCUCUCUCUUUCCCGUCAUGUGUUAAGUUAUGUCUUUCGCGAAGUGCUCUCAUGUAUUCUCGUUUCCAUUGUUGCCAUAACGCGUCCUUACAUUUCUUCAAAUAUCUCGCCCUCUUUCGCAGGUCUCGUUCUUCUAUAUCCUCAGGUGAUAACUCCAUAAGAUAAUUGGCUUUACCGAAGAUCAUCAUGUUCGGCGUCAACACGGGAAGUUGAAUGUCAUCCUCGCAGUACGAUAGUGGUCGAUUGUUCAAUACGAGCUGGAUAUCUAGCAUCACGUCUUGCAAUUCUUUGAAGGUAAGUUUGGCCGAUCCUACGACCUUGUAAAGAGCUUGUUUCACUAUGCUGACCAUUCGUUCGAACAUUCCACCCCACCAGCUAGCUUUGCUUAGAUUGAACUGCCAUUUCACACCAUGUUCACUCAGAUAGCCUUGUAACUUUUCGUUCAGUACGACUUUCUUGAUCCAUUUGGCAGCAGCCACGAAAGUCUUUCCAUUAUCGGAUAUGAUCUUCUUCGGACGACCUCUUGCUGCGAUAAAUCUUUUAAAACUCAUCAGGAACUCUUCACAGCUCAUGUUUGGCAGAAUCUCCAAGUGAAGUCCUCUAGUUAAACUGCAGGUAUAGAUGAGUAUAUAUGACUUACGCUCAGCUCCCCCAUUUCCCUUGUAAUAGAUUGGUCCGGCAUAAUCGACACCAGUUACUUCGAAGGGGAUUUCACCUUCAGUUCGUUCUUUUGGAAGAUUCCCCUGAGGUGGAGCGGGCAUCGGCGUUGUGUAAAAUCGUUU